rnacentral:lncRNA from 1 species
GGAAGCGACGAACAGAAUCAGCUCCAGCAUCGAUUGUUCAAAGGGAGGAAAAUUCCACGCUCCUGCUGCAGGAAUCAGGCGAGAUGAGCCAGGAGGUGGCGGGGCAGGAGAAAAUGGGAGUAAUCCUUUAAAGCAAGCCCAGACAGAAAAGGCCUUGUCCCUGGGCCACCCCGAGACGUUAUCCUGAGCCCUGGAAGCUCUGUGUGGCUGGCCCAGCAGUUGCAGCCUCACUGGACAACGAGUGCUGAGCCCUGUGCUAACUCCGUGACGCUGCAAGGGAAGGCCGGUCACGCUGAGAGGCAAGGAGUUCACCGGAGAAAUGCUGGCUCCAAGUCUUUACAAUUUGCUUUGCCGCUAAUUCCCCUUAGAGUGCAGAG